rnacentral:rRNA from 1 species
GUGUCAGCCGCCGCGGUAACACGUAGGAGGCGAGCGUUAUCCGGAUUUACUGGGCGUAAAGCGCGUGUAGGCGGUUUGGUAAGUUGGAUGUGAAAUCUCCUGGCUCAACUGGGAGAGGUCGUUCAAUACUACCAGACUAGAGGACGGUAGAGGAAGGUAGAAUUCCCGGUGUAGUGGUGAAAUGCGUAGAUAUCGGGAGGAAUACCAGUGGCGAAGGCGGCCUUCUGGGCCGUUCCUGACGCUCAGACGCGAAAGCGUGGGUAGCGAACGGGAUUAGAAACCCGUGUAGUCC